rnacentral:rRNA from 1 species
UUCUUUAAGUUUUUUUUUAAAGUAAAACCUGCUCCAUGUAUAAAUUAAUAGCCGCAGUUUACUGUGCUAAGGUAGCAUAAUCAUUAGCCUUUUAAUUAAAGGAUAGAAUGAAAGGUUAAACGUAAUUUUCUAUGUCUCCGUAAUUCACACUAAUUUUAUAAUCUAGUUAAAAAUCUAGUAACAUUAAUAAGACGACAAGACCCUAAUAAACUUUUCAUUCUGCUGGGGCGGCAUAAAUAAAAACACCUUAAUACAACUUCAACAACAAAUCUAUUAUAAAUAAUCACGAUAAAGUUACUAUAGGGAUAACAGCGCUACUUUUUUCUAAAGUUCUAAUUUAAAAAAAAACUACGACCUCGAUGUUGAAUUAAUUUUACUACCACAAAGCAAUAUUUUGGAAAGACAGUCUGUUCGACUAAUAAAAAUUU